UGCUUCAGGGUUCACUGUCUGACUUUUGCAACCUCUGGCAUUGUGACCACAACUCCCACAUGUUGUGCACUUGUACUUACUAGCACCUCUGCUAAAUUUCCCACAUGAUUUUGCUGGCUCAUCAGGCUCUCUCCUCCUUAGUUUCUUAGGUCUUCCUGGUCCUUUCUUGUACAAAGGAGGAAGCAUCUCCUCACAUUUAACUUCAGGCCACAUAUCUUGACCAUUUAUAGCACUCACAUUAAAGUUAUAACAUGCUUCAUACUUGCUCCUAGUAUACCAUUCAGAAACAUACCUGUCUGACUUUUGCAACCUCUGCCAUUGUGACCACAGCUCCCACAUGUUGUGCACUUGUACUUACUAGCACCUCUGCUAAAUUUCCCACAUGAUUUUGCUGGCUCAUCAGGCUCUCUCCUCCUUAGUUUCUUAGGUCUUCCUGGUCCUUUCUUGUACAAAGGAGGAAGCAUCUCCUCACAUUUAACUUCAGGCCACAUAUCUUGACCAUUUAUAGCACUCACAUUAAAGUUAUAACAUGCUUCAUACUUGCUCCUAGUAUACCAUUCAGAAACAUACCUGUCUGACUUUUGCAACCUCUGCCAUUGUGACCACAGCUCCCACAUGUUGUGCACUUGUACUUACUAGCACCUCUGCUAAAUUUCCCACAUGAUUUUGCUGGCUCAUCAGGCUCUCUCCUCCUUAGUUUCUUAGGUCUUCCUGGUCCUUUCUUGUACAAAGGAGGAAGCAUCUCCUCACAUUUAACUUCAGGCCACAUAUCUUGACCAUUUAUAGCACUCACAUUAAAGUUAUAACAUGCUUCAUACUUGCUCCUAGUAUACCAUUCAGAAAC
rnacentral:lncRNA from 1 species